rnacentral:lncRNA from 1 species
UUUAGGAUUUAAAAAUUUAUCAGAAUCAAUACAUAAUAUUAUUAUACCUAUGUACAUAGAAGAGGAGUAGCCGAUGAAGUGAUUUUCGGUGUACUCAACACAAUGGGAAUGUGCCAGGGUUGGAUGGAUGGUAGGUGCAGAGUCACAGGGUUCAUCGAGAGCGGGUGAAAAAUAUCUGUAAGCAUUGUGCGUAGUUGAUGAAAAUUGUUUUAUUGUCCUAAAAAUUACCUCAAAUUUUGUAUAAUCAUUCUGAAAAUUACAAAAACUAAUCUACCGUAUUACGUGUGAAUAAUAACGGAUGAAAACCAAUUAGACUCUUCGAGUAUAAAGUUUAGAUUUUUUCUCUUCCGUAUUUUCUCAUUCUCCGUACAACGAUUUGUACUAACGUGUUGGUCUUACAACUUCAAGCCUAAUAAAUUUACA